rnacentral:rRNA from 1 species
GACGAACGCUGGCGGCGUGCCUAAUACAUGCAAGUAGAACGCUGAAGGAGGAGCUUGCUUCUCUGGAUGAGUUGCGAACGGGUGAGUAACGCGUAGGUAACCUGCCUGGUAGCGGGGGAUAACUAUUGGAAACGAUAGCUAAUACCGCAUAAGAGUAGAUGUUGCAUGACAUUUGCUUAAAAGGUGCAAUUGCAUCACUACCAGAUGGACCUGCGUUGUAUUAGCUAGUUGGUGGGGUAACGGCUUACCAAGGCGACGAUACAUAGCCGACCUGAGAGGGGGGUCGGCCACACUGGGACUGAGACACGGCCCAGACUUCUACGGGAGGCAGCAGUAGGGAAUCUUCGGGAAUGGACGGAAGGCUGACCGAGGAACGCCGCGUGAGUGAAGAAGGGUUUCGGAUCGUAAAGCUCUGUUGUAAGAGAAGAACGAGUGUGAGAGUGGAAAGUUCACACUGUGACGGUAUCUUACCAGAAAGGGACGGCUAACUACGUG